GACGAACGCUGGCGGCGUGCUUAACACAUGCAAGUCGAACGGAAAGGCCCUGCUUUUGUGGGGUGCUCGAGUGGCGAACGGGUGAGUAACACGUGAGUAACCUGCCCUUGACUUUGGGAUAACUUCAGGAAACUGGGGCUAAUACCGGAUAGGAGCUCCUGCUGCAUGGUGGGGGUUGGAAAGUUUCGGCGGUUGGGGAUGGACUCGCGCCUUAUCAGCUUGUUGGUGGGGUAGUGGCUUACCAAGGCUUUGACGGGUAGCCGGCCUGAGAGGGUGACCGGCCACAUUGGGGCUGAGAUACGGCCCAGACUCCUACGGGAGGCAGCAGUGGGGAAUAUUGCACAAUGGGCGGAAGCCUGAUGCAGCAACGCCGCGUGCGGGAUGACGGCCUUCGGGUUGUAAACCGCUUUCGCCUGUGACGAAGCGUGAGUGACGGUAAUGGGUAAAGAAGCACCGGCUAACUACGUG
rnacentral:rRNA from 1 species